UGGGGAAUUUUGGACAAUGGGGGCAACCCUGAUCCAGCAAUGCCGCGUGUGCGAAGAAGGCCUUCGGGUUGUAAAGCACUUUUGUCAGGGAAGAAAUCUUUUGGGCUAAUACCCCGGAAGGAUGACGGUACCUGAAGAAUAAGCACCGGCUAACUACGUGCCAGCAGCCGCGGUAAUACGUAGGGUGCAAGCGUUAAUCGGAAUUACUGGGCGUAAAGCGUGCGCAGGCGGUUCGCUAAGACAGUCGUGAAAUCCCCGGGCUUAACCUGGGAACUGCGAUUGUGACUGGCGAGCUAGAGUACGGCAGAGGGGGGUGGAAUUCCUGGUGUAGCAGUGAAAUGCGUAGAGAUCAGGAGGAACACCGAUGGCGAAGGCAGCCCCCUGGGCUAGUACUGACGCUCAUGCACGAAAGCGUGGGGAGCAAACAGGAUUAGAUACCCUGGUAG
rnacentral:rRNA from 1 species